CCUACGGGAGGCUGCAGUGGGGAAUAUUGGGCAAUGGGCGCAAGCCUGACCCAGCAACGCCGCGUGAAGGAAGAAGGCUUUCGGGUUGUAAACUUCUUUUCUCAGGGACGAAGCAAGUGACGGUACCUGAGGAAUAAGCCACGGCUAACUACGUGCCAGCAGCCGCGGCAAUACGUAGGUGGCAAGCGUUAUCCGGAUUUACUGGGUGUAAAGGGCGUGUAGGCGGGGACGCAAGUCAGAUGUGAAAACCACGGGCUCAACCUGUAGCCUGCAUUUGAAACUGUGUUUCUUGAGUACUGGAGAGGCAGACGGAAUUCCUAGUGUAGCGGUGAAAUGCGUAGAUAUUAGGAGGAACACCAGUGGCGAAGGCGGUCUGCUAGACAGCGACUGACGCUGAGGCGCGAAAGCGUGGGGAGCAAACAGGAUUAGAUACCCGAGUAGUC
rnacentral:rRNA from 1 species